CAGAGGAGCCAGAAGGUCCCUGGUCUGGUUGCAGCAAGGUUCUCCUGCAAAAGAUGUUUCCUCACCAUCAGAUGAAUGGUAUAUAGAUUCUGAAAUGCAAGACAUAUGCUGAACACCUAAUUGGGCUGCCAAUGGCUCAAAAAUAUUUCAAAAGAAUAAUCUCAGAUGCCAGUAUGACUUUCGAUGUCACUGUGACGGUGCUGCGAGUUGGCAUCACUUCGAGUCAAUUCC